AUUGAACGCUGGCGGCAUGUCUUACACAUGCAAGUCGAACGGCAGCACGGGAGCAAUCCUGGUGGCGAGUGGCGAACGGGUGAGUAAAGUAUCGGAACGUGCCCAGUCGUGGGGGAUAACGUAGCGAAAGUUACGCUAAUACCGCAUACGAUCUAUGGAUGAAAGCGGGGGAUCGCAAGACCUCGCGCGAUUGGAGCGGCCGAUAUCAGAUUAGGUAGUUGGUGGGGUAAAGGCUCACCAAGCCUACGAUCUGUAGCUGGUCUGAGAGGACGACCAGCCACACUGGGACUGAGACACGGCCCAGACUCCUACGGGAGGCAGCAGUGGGGAAUUUUGGACAAUGGGCGAAAGCCUGAUCCAGCCAUGCCGCGUGCAGGAUGAAGGCCUUCGGGUUGUAAACUGCUUUUGUACGGAACGAAAAGGUUUGGCCUAAUAAGCUGAGCUCAUGACGGUACCGUAAGAAUAAGCACCGGCUAACUACGUGCCAGCCGCCGCCGCAGUAA
rnacentral:rRNA from 1 species